UAAGAUGGCACUAAGUUUACUAAUGGGCGAUUUUCAUUGGUGACACCACUACCGAUGGAUAAUACCAACCAAAUUACCGACAGACGGUUUGGUCGAAAUUUUUGUUAUGAUUGCACAAAAUUUCCAUACAAAUUAUUAUUAUUAUUAUUAUUAUUGUGGGUUUUGUCUGAAUUUUGCCAUUUUUUCUUUGUGGGUGUUAUGAAAAUGGUGGCACCGAGGAAUGUGUUGAAGGAUGAAGGGAGUGUUGCUAUGGCGUAGCUGCUUUGAGGUUUUCUCGAUCUUAUCUACCAGUUUGUUCUCCAUCUACCGAUUUUUUUUCUUUGUUCUGUUUUGGGGUUAUGUUUAAUGCUUGGAAUUUUGAGAUAACCAAAAGCAUGUGUACAAAUAGUUUGAUGCUUGGGAGUCGUGUUGGUUGAUUGGUUUUGAUUGCAGCUUUGAUUGUCCUGCCUGGUUCUUCUCA
rnacentral:lncRNA from 1 species